AGGAUGAACGCUAGCGGCAGGCCUAAUACAUGCAAGUCGAACGGUGGUAGCAAUACCAUAGUGGCGCACGGGUGCGUAACGCGUAGCCAACCUACCCACAUCUGGGGGAUAGCCCGCCGAAAGGCGGAUUAAUACCGCAUAAGACAGCGGAGCGGCAUCGCUUGGUUGUUAAAGAUUUAUUGGAUGUGGAUGGGGCUGCGUGCCAUUAGCUAGUUGGGGGGGUAACGCCCACCAAGGCGACGAUGGCUA
rnacentral:rRNA from 1 species